ACACCUUCAACCCUCCAAUGUUUUUUCGCGUUGAAGGCGUUGGUAGUGAGCGCUGCCGGACUCUUUGGAUCGGCUCGCUUUAAAAUCAUCAGCUGGAUCCAUUCUGACCUGGUUCUACUCGGCGUAAUAAGUUAUUAUCGUCGAGGACGCCUGGCCUUCUAGGCGGGCGGCCACAGUAAGGGUGUUUGAGCCGCUUCCAACACGUCUUGCUCUCGUAGCAAACACUUGAAC
rnacentral:misc_RNA from 1 species